rnacentral:lncRNA from 1 species
GAUGUACUAAAUUUCUUUAACAAAAAUAUGAUAUGAAACUUCAUUUCAUUUUAUAAAAGACAAAGUCCGAGAAAGCCUAACAAAGCCACAAACCUAGAUGCAUUAGGUAAAGAAAGCAAUAGAGGACCCAACACUAGAUAUCUUGAAAGAUUAGUAAACCUAAAUUUUAUGGCGAGAAAAAGAGCGUCCAUUGCUUGAAUCAAACCUUUUGCCUAAAUAGAAACAAAGAAGAGCACCCAACACAAUUUCUAUGCCUUCUCAACCAACACACGUUUUGCCAUCAAUUAUGAUAUGGUGUGUCUCUAUACAAUUCAUUGCUUCCAUGAUAGUGGAAAUAUCUCCAACUUAAAUCAUCAUAUGCAAUGGAAUCCCUGACAAAAUUAAGUUCUUGUAGAAACUCAAUAGACGAAAAGUCACUAGGGCUUAGAGAAUGCGAACCAUCAUUGGACUCGAGCACUAAAGCACGACUCGACCCUUAGGCCCCCUGGAAUUUCUUAUUUCGAUGGCUUGUCCUCAUCCUACUGGAAAAAUUGUCUGGAGUUUGACAUUGAGACACAGUCAGGGACAGUGUAGGGGAUGGUGGCUGACUAUUCAACGGCCAAAAAGUCGACCACCAUGACUACAACUAAAACCUUAAACAGUCACUCGGGAUCUCCAACCAGAGAUCCGCGCUGUGGGAGGCAAAGAGUCAUUUGUGUGCUUAAAACGAGAGAGAUCAAACAACUACUGAUGGAAGAUAGCGCGACAGAUUUAAAGAAAAAACCUCCAUUCAGAACAAAUGGAUUGUAGAUUUUGCAUCCCUAAUCAAACAUAAAAAAUCAUAAAAGAAGUCAAUCAUACAAACAACCAUAAAGCAAAACAUAUAAUUAUUUGGAUGCAGAGAUAAGGAUAUGAACUACCAGUAAUUUAAUUAUAUGGUGCAGGGAUAAGGUUAUGGUACAAAUUAAUAUCAUUCAUGUGAGUAGUUAAA